GGGGGCCUGUAGCUCAGUGGUAGAACAUCUGCUUGACAUGCAGAAGGUCCCAGGUUCGAUUCCUGACAUCUCCA